rnacentral:rRNA from 1 species
ACGCACGCUGGCGGCGUGCUUAACACAUGCCAGUCGAACGGAAGGGCCCUGCUUUUGUGGGGUGCUCGAGUGGCGAACGGGUGAGUAACACGUGAGUAACCUGCCCUUGACUUUGGGAUAACUUCAGGAAACUGGGGCUAAUACCGGAUAGGAGCUCCUGCUGCAUGGUGGGGGUUGGAAAGUUUCGGCGGUUGGGGAUGGACUCGCGGCUUAUCAGCUUGUUGGUGGGGUAGUGGCUUACCAAGGCUUUGACGGGUAGCCGGCCUGAGAGGGUGACCGGCCACAUUGGGACUGAGAUACGGCCCAGACUCCUACGGGAGGCAGCAGUGGGGAAUAUUGCACAAUGGGCGGAAGCCUGAUGCAGCAACGCCGCGUGCGGGAUGACGGCCUUCGGGUUGUAAACCGCUUUCGCCUGUGACGAAGCGUGAGUGACGGUAAUGGGUAAAGAAGCACCGGCUAACUACGUG